rnacentral:rRNA from 1 species
GAUGAACGCUAGCGGCAGGCUUAAUACAUGCAAGUCGUGGGGCAGCAUGAGUAGCAAUACUUGAUGGCGACCGGCAAACGGGUGAGGAACACGUACACAACCUUCCUUCAAGCGGGGAAUAGCCCAGAGAAAUUUGGAUUAAUACCCCAUAAUAUAUUUGAUAAGGCAUCUUAUUAAUAUUAAAGCUUCGGCACUUGAUGAUGGGUGUGCGGCUGAUUAGAUAGUUGGCGGGGUAACGGCCCGCCAAGUCUACGAUCAGUAGCUGAUGUGAGAGCAUGAUCAGCCACACGGGCACUGAGACACGGGCCCGACUCCUACGGGAGGCAGCAGUAAGGAAUAUUGGACAAU